rnacentral:lncRNA from 1 species
CCAAACGUUACCAUUUUUUUCUAUAAGAAGUUAAUACACGAAUUCUAGUAUGUUCAUUUAUGUAAAUAUUGCCUUGCUGAUCAUUUUAGCUGUUCGAGUUUCUCUUUAUAUAUUCUCAAGAUAGACACAAAAGAAUUGGGAAAAAUCGGACUUUGAUAGGGUAAUGGCUCAUAUAAGGGACCGGUCAUUUGUAACAACAACAAAAAAAGAGGGAUGGAAAGAAAUAAAGGGGGCCUUUCAUUUUAUCAUUUUUGGAAUGGAAAGGUGGCAUUCAAUUUUAUAUAGUUAUAAAUUUGCCGCGGUAUAAUGUUAUGGCGAAUUCUUUGUCAUCCGUAUGCAUCAAUCUUUACGCCUCGUUCCGCUCACCUGAAUUGUUAAAACCUAAAUAUUUAGUUUCAACAAUUUCUUCUAGCAGAGAAUUUUUCAUCUGAAGCUAAUAUUGAAUGAAGGUGUGGUAAAUAUUAAUGAAACCACAAACGGCAAAUCCAAACUAAGUUCCCUGAAGUCACAAACAACUUUCAUACUUCAGUACUUUGAUUAUAUAUUGUUCUUGUCUAUACCUUGCAAGAAAAGGUUUCUCUAUUAUUAGUUAUCAAGAUAAUAGCCAAUAAAACAACAAAACUAAAUGAAAAGGCAAAAUUUCCCAAAAAGGAC